CGGAGCCGGCGGGGGAGCGCUGGGGGCAGCCCCUGGAAGCCUCCAUCCUCGGCGCAGCCCGCAGAGGGCACCCACGAGAUGCGCUGGGAGGCGGCUGGGAACCGCGGCGAGUCAUUUCUGGUUCCCCAUUUGGCUCCUCCUUGGCCCAGUGGCAACAGACCCGUCUGGAGGCACAGGCUCCGUGCUGCCUGCCUAAAUCCUGCCUAAAUUCCACCUGCAUCCUGCCUGCAGCCCCGGCUGCAGCAAACCCACCCCGCAGCUCAGCCCGCCCGCUUCCCACGCGGGUUUAAUAACACGCAUUAAAAUACCAGGAGGAUUCACAGCGAGAGACGGUGUUUGUGGGUGCAAGUCGGUCUGAAGAGAAAUAAUACGCGGUAACCUGCACCGGCAGGCCCCGGGUUUUGGCAGGCACCUGCUGCCUUGCCGCGGGGGAGCGCCGGGGGGAGGCCGCCCACCGUCUCACCAGCUCCUCUGCCGUCACUCAGAGUGGGGAUUUGGGGGCCCCACGCUCCUGGGCUGCCCGGGUCCAGGCCGGCCCCGUCGGGCACAUCCAGCCCUUGGGGUGCUGGGGCUCCGCCAAGCCCCCCAGGAGCGAGGAGGGCUCCUGCUCUCUGCCGUGCCGCCGUCUGCUAGAUCGUGCUGUGCUGGCAGUUUGCAAAGCUGUCUAUUAUCAACACGUUAAUAACCUUUCACAAUGUUUAAUUACUUGGAAAGGUAAUCAGUCCUGUGGUAGCUAUUUGAAAAGCAUGCCCAUUUCACUUGCUCUUGGCAAAGACUGGUGUUUUUUUGUCUUUCAUUCUCGCAAUAAAUAUGUUACAACUGA